AUAAGCAAGCGCAUCAUUCAGCACCAUUUGCGGGAAAAUAAUUCAUCCAUAUUGGUUGAAGCAGUUGUUCUUCACUUUUAUUCUGUUUUCUAUAAAGUCACAGCACUGGGCAUCAUCUGCAGUCAAGACUGGGGUCAUAAGCUGUCAUAGCUGUCAUAAGAGGCCAAUCCACAAUUGAAGCUGCUCUGUCAAAUGCUGGGCUUCACACAUUCCAUGCAGCAUUCUACUGGGCAAAACUGACAGCGUGCCUAAUACUCAACAACGAAGCAAUUCUGGACCGAUCAAGAUUGACCGGGACCGAAACAUCAGCAAUUGUGACUCUGUAAUGUUCAGCGUUAGUGGACUGUAAAGAAACUGCAAUUAUUGAAGAAACAGUGUAUGUCUGUAAGCAAAACGAAUAUACAACAUAACAAAUAUCAGAUGUGAAAACAAUGUGCAAGAAUAGUAAAAUUAACAAUUUGCAGUUAUCAUGCAUGUCAAAUUAAUUGUUGAUAUUAACAAUGAUGGUGUCCAGGCAGCUAUAGACAUUUUUCUGUAUUUCUAUUAGUAAUUAAAAUGUAUGCCACAAUCAAAAAAGCACACUGCGUUUACAGACCAUUGUGAUGUGUGAUGAUGACUUUGAGUAAUACAUUGCAAAUUAAACA